rnacentral:rRNA from 1 species
UACGUAGGGGGCAAGCGUUGUCCGGAUUUAUUGGGCGUAAAGAGCGUGUAGGCGGUCAGGUAGGUCCGUUGUGAAAACUCGAGGCUCAACCUCGAGACGCCGAUGGAAACCAUCUGACUAGAGUCCGGAAGAGGAGAGUGGAAUUCCUGGUGUAGCGGUGAAAUGCGCAGAUAUCAGGAAGAACACCCGUGGCGAAGGCAGCUCUCUGGGACGGUACUGACGCUGAGACGCGAAAGCGUGGGGAGCGAACAGG